CCUACGGGAGGCAGCAGUAGGGAAUUUUUCACAAUGGGCGAAAGCCUGAUGGAGCAACGCCGCGUGUAGGAUGAAGGCCUUCGGGUUGUAAACUGCUUUUAUAAGCGAGAAAUAUGAUGGUAACUUAUGAAUAAGGAUCGGCUAACUACGUGCCAGCAGCCGCGGUCAUACGUAGGAUCCGAGCAUUAUCCGGAGUGACUGGGUGUAAAGAGUUGCGUAGGUGGCAUAAUAAGUAGCUAGUGAAAUCUGGUGGCUCAACCAUUCAGACUAUUAGCUAAACUGUUAAGCUCGAGACCGUUAGGGGUAACUGGAAUGUCUAGUGUAGGAGUGAAAUCCGUAGAUAUUAGAAGGAACACCAAUAGCGUAGGCAGGUUGCUGGGACGGUUCUGACACUAAGGCACGAAAGCGUAGGGAGCAAACGGGAUUAGAUACCCCUGUAGUC
rnacentral:rRNA from 1 species